rnacentral:sRNA from 1 species
AACGCUGCCGAAGACAGCAGGUGCUGGAAAGCAUAAGGAUCAAAACGCCUGCCGAGGAGAUGAAAUUCGAAAUCAUGAUGAAUUUGAAUCCUUCUGUCAAGUGGCAGGAGGAUUUUUUAUCUU